GGGCCCGCACAAGCGGUGGAGUAUGUGGUUUAAUUCGAUGCAACGCGAAGAACCUUACCAGGGUUUGACAUCCUGCGAAUCUCUUGGAAACGAGAGAGUGCCUUCGGGAGCGCAGUGACAGGUGGUGCAUGGCUGUCGUCAGCUCGUGUCGUGAGAUGUUGGGUUAAGUCCCGCAACGAGCGCAACCCACGUCGUUAGUUGCCAGCAUUUUAGUUGGGCACUCUAGCGAGACCGCCGGUGAUAAACCGGAGAAGGUGUGGAUGACGUCAAGUCAUCAUGCCCCUUACAUCUGGGCUACACACGUACUACAAUGCUACGGACAAAGGGCAGCAAACUCGCGAGAUCAAGCAAACCGCACAAAACGUUGCCCC
rnacentral:rRNA from 1 species